GACGAACGCUGGCGGCGUGCUUAACACAUGCAAGUCGAACGGAAAGGCCCAGCUUGCUGGGUACUCGAGUGGCGAACGGGUGAGUAACACGUGGGUGAUCUGCCCUGGACUCUGGGAUAAGCCUGGGAAACUGGGUCUAAUACCGGAUAUGACCUUACAUCGCAUGGUGUUUGGUGGAAAGCUUUUGCGGUUUAGGAUGGGCUCGCGGCCUAUCAGCUUGUUGGUGGGGUAAUGGCCUACCAAGGCGACGACGGGUAGCCGACCUGAGAGGGUGAUCGGCCACACUGGGACUGAGACACGGCCCAGACUCCUACGGGAGGCAGCAGUGGGGAAUAUUGCACAAUGGGCGCAAGCCUGAUGCAGCGACGCCGCGUGAGGGAUGACGGCCUUCGGGUUGUAAACCUCUUUCACCAGGGACGAAGCGUGAGUGACGGUACCUGGAGAAGAAGCACCGGCCAACUACGUG
rnacentral:rRNA from 1 species